UGAGCUGCUGACUGAGGUGUGAGGAA
rnacentral:piRNA from 1 species